GGAGAACACAUUCAAAGAGGUCUAGAAGGUACAGAUUCCAAAAGGAAGGAAUGGAGAACACAUUCAACUGGGUCUAGAAGAUACAGAUCCCAAAAGGAUUGUGAGCAGAGUUAUCUUCAUUAAGCAGAGGAAUCAAGAACACAUUAAAUGAGGUGUAGAAGGUACAGAUCCCCAAAGGAGGGUGAGUAAAGUUAUCUUCAAUGAGCAGAGGCCAGACCACAGAGUAUCCCUGCACUCCCUGCCUUCCUUCAGGUCAUUAUUAAAGUCUGAUCUUCUACAGGAAAUCUUCAUCCUUCUGAUUAUCAGUAUUCAGUGUCUCAUCCUAGGCAACUUAUUGUCCUUGUGUUAUUGUAGGAGACAUUGGUAUUUGUGGAGGGGAGAUGAAGAAAGAGCAUUGGGAGGAG